rnacentral:rRNA from 1 species
UACAGAGGGGGCAAGCGUUAUUCGGAAUUAUUGGGCGUAAAGGGCGCGUAGGCGGCUUUUCAAGUGACGGGUGAAAUCCCUCGGCUUAACCGAGGAACUGCCUGUCAGACUGGAAGGCUUGAGACCGGGAGAGGUGAGUGGAAUUCCCAGUGUAGCGGUGAAAUGCGUGGAUAUUGGGAGGAACACCAGUGGCGAAGGCGGCUCACUGGACCGGAACUGACGCUGAGGCGCGAAAGCGUGGGGAGCAAACAGG